AACAGCUAGCUUAAAAACAAAUUAAACAAACAAUAUUAACCAAUUUCAUAAAACUUCAACUUAAGAAAUAAAUCAUUCUUCUGCCUUAGUAAGGGCGACAGAAAAGGCACUAUAAAAGCUAUAGAGAAAGUACCGCAAGGGAAUGCUGAAAGAGUAAUGAAAAAAUUCAUACAAGCCUCAAAUAGCAGAGAUUAAAUCUCGUACCUUUUGCAUCAUGAUUUAGCCAGAAUACUUGAGCAAAGAGAACUUUAGUUCAGAGCCCCGAAACCAAGUGAGCUACCCCGGGACAGCCUACAUUAUUAGGGCUAACCCGUCUCUGUGGCAAAAGAGUGGGAAGAUCCCCGGGUAGAAGUGAUAAACUUACCCGGACUUGGUGAUAGCUGGUUGCCUAGGAAAUGGAUAAAAGUUCAGCCUCGUAUUCCUUAACUUCAACAACAAGCACUGCUUCAACGUACACAAGAAAAAUACGAGAGUUAGUCAAAAGGGGUACAGCUCUUUUGACAUAGGAUACAACCUAAUGAGGUGGUUAAGGAUCACAUUAAUUAAAAUAAACCGCUUUAGUGGGCCUAAAAGCAGCCAUCUACCAAGAAAGCGUCUAAGCUCCGGCAGUAAGCAAAUUUAUUAUUAGGAUAUUGGCUCCAAAACCCCUAUAUUUACUAGGCCUUUCCAUGCCCCCAUGGAAGAGACUAUGCUAAAAUGAGUAACAAGAAGACCCUUCUCCCUGCCUAAGUGUAAGUUAGAAUGGACAAACCACUAACGAUUAACGAACCUAAUAAAAGAAGGCAAAAUGGCCUAAUAAGUAAAGCAAGAAAAACCCAUAUUAUUUAUCGUUAACCCAACACCGGAAGGCUUAAGGAAAGACUAAAAGAAAAAGAAGGAACUCGGCAAAUACUAGCCUCGCCUGUUUACCAAAAACAUCGCCUCUUGCUAAUAAUCAUUGUAUAAGAGGUCUUACCUGCCCAAUGACAUUAAGUUAAAUGGCCGCGGUAUUUCUGACCGUGCUAAGGUAGCGUAAUCACUUGUCUUUUAAAUUAAGACCUGUAUGAAUGGUGAAACGAGGGCUCAACUGUCUCCUUUUUCAGGUCAGUGAAAUUGAUCUGCCCGUGCAGAAGCGGACAUAUAUAUACAAGACGAGAAGACCCUUUGGAGCUUUAAGAUAUUAAGAUCAAGUAUGUUAAGAAUACACAAAAUGGAAAUAAAACAUAAUAUUUACUGAUCUACAUCUUCGGUUGGGGCGACCGUGGGGAAAGAAAAACCCCUAUGUGGAAAGGGUUAACCCUAUAAACCAAGAGGUACACCUCUAAGUCUCAGAAAUUCUGACCUAAUAGAUCCGGCUCAUAAGCUGAUUAACGGACCAAGUUACCCUAGGGAUAACAGCGCAAUCCCCUCCAAGAGCCCAUAUCGACGAGGGGGUUUACGACCUCGAUGUUGGAUCAGGACAUCCUAAUGGUGCAGCCGCUAUUAAGGGUUCGUUUGUUCAACGAUUAAAGUCCUACGUGAUCUGAGUUCAGACCGGAGAAAUCCAGGUCGGUUUCUAUCUGUAAGACUACUCUUCCUAGUACGAAAGGACCGGAAGCGUGAAGCCAAUGCUUAAAGUAUGCCUCACUUCAACUUUAUGAAAACAACUUAAUAAAAUAAAGAAGCGUACAAAAUUCCCCUAGAUAAGGGAUUA
rnacentral:rRNA from 1 species